AGCAGCCGCGGUAAUUCCAGCUCCAAUAGCGUAUAUUAAAGUUGCUGCAGUUAAAAAGCUCGUAGUUGAAUUUCGGGACCAAUAUGUCGGUCGUGCCUCGGUACGUACUGGCAUCGUUGGUUUCUCCCUUCUGACGAACCAUGAUGUCAUUCAUUUGGUGUCGUGGGGAAUCAGGACUGUUACUUUGAAAAAAUUAGAGUGUUUAAAGCAGGCUCACGCUUGAAUACAUUAGCAUGGAAUAAUGAAAUAGGACGUUUGAUUCUAUUUUGUUGGUUUCUUAGGAUCGACGUAAUGAUUAAUAGGGAUAGUUGGGGGCAUUAGUAUUCAAUUGUCAGAGGUGAAAUUCUUGGAUUUAUUGUAAGACUAACUACUGCGAAAGCAUUUGCCAAGGAUGUUUUCAUUAAUCAAGAACGAAAGUUAGGGGAUCGAAGACGAUCAGAUACCGUCGUAGUCUUAACCAUAAACUAUGCCGACUAGGGAUCGGAUGAUGUUAAUUUUUAAUUGUA
rnacentral:rRNA from 1 species